AAAAAUAAAUCCCUACAAAAAAACCAAAUGCCUAGUUGCACUCCCACACGCAUUGCAUGCAUCACUUCAUGCAUAAUUUUCUCUCCGAAAUGGGAAGUUCCACAAUGCCUAACCAUACUUGGCACAUUCCAUAUACCACAUUUGCAUACACCUAGUGGCCCGAGCAUACAUCAACAUUUUGCAUACAUAGACACUUUGCAUACAUAACAUCGCAUCAUAGUAUACUCUUCAUAUU
rnacentral:lncRNA from 1 species